rnacentral:rRNA from 1 species
AGAGUUUGAUCAUGGCUCAGAACGAACGCUGGCGGCAGGCCUCAAACAUGCAAGUCUAGGGGGUGUAGCAAUACAUCACCGGCGGACGGGUGCGUAACACGUGGGAAUAUACCUUUUGGUUCGGAACAACGCAGGGAAACUUGCGCUAAUACCGAAUGUGCCCUUACGGGGAAAGAUUUAUCACCAAAGGAUUAGCCCGCGUAGGAUUAGCUAGUUGGUGAGGUAAUGGCUCACCAAGGCUCCGAUCCUUAGCUGUUCUGAGAGGAAGAUCAGCCACACUGGGACUGAGACACGGCCCAGACUCCUACGGGAGGCAGCAGUUGGGAAUCUUGGACAAUGGGGGAAACCCUGAUCCAGCCAUGCCGCGUGAGUGAUGAAGGCCUUCGGGUUGUAAAACUCUUUCGACGGGGACGAUAAUGACGGUACCCGUAGAAGAAGCUCCGGCUAACUUCGUGCCAGCAGCCGCGGUAAUACGAAGGGGGCUAGCGUUGUUCGGAAUUACUGGGCGUAAAGCGCGCGCAGGCGGUCUUCCAAGUCAGUGGUGAAAGCCCGGAGCUCAACUCCGGAACUGCCAUUGAAACUGUAAGACUUGAGGAUGAGAGAGGUGAGUGGAAUUCCCAGUGUAGAGGUGAAAUUCGUAGAUAUUGGGAAGAACACCGGUGGCGAAGGCGGCUCACUGGCUCAUUUCUGACGCUCAGGCGCGACAGCGUGGGGAUCAAACAGGAUUAGAUACCCUAGUAGUCC